rfam:Trichosporon oleaginosus strain IBC0246 unplaced genomic scaffold CC85scaffold_9, whole genome shotgun sequence.
GGGCGUGUAGCUCAGUUGGUAGAGCGUGUCAUUAGCAUCCGGCCGGCAUUCAUUAGGAUCUGGUUACAAACUCUUGACAAGGUCUUUGGUUCGAUUCCUAACUCGUCCA